UACGUAGGGACCAAGCGUUGUCCGGAAUCAUUGGGCGUAAAGAGCGUGUAGGCGGCUUGUUAAGUCUUGCGUGAAAUCUCGGGGCUCAACCUCAAGCUGUCGGUGGAAACCCCUUGGCUAGAGUCCGGAAGAGGAGAGUGGAAUUCCUGGUGUAGCGGUGAAAUGCGCAGAUAUCAGGAAGAACACCAAUGGCGAAGGCAGCUCUCUGGGACGGUACUGACACUGAGACGCGAAAGCGUGGGGAGCGAACAGG
rnacentral:rRNA from 1 species